CUGGCGGACGGCCCCGCCCGCCUGCAGCUGCAGACGUCCCUGGACACCGACGUGCCGGGCGUGGCCUUCGCGCUGGGCGCCCAGCUCACCUCCAAUGUGGACGGCUCGGCCAUCACCGGCCUCGCCGUCACCGCCACCCUCAAGCCCGACACCUCCGCCGGCCCCGCCGCCUGCGCCGACACGCCCAGCUGCGCCACCACCAGCGGCGCGGGCCUGGACGCGGGCUGCCAGCUGGCGCUGCCGUGCGUGGGGCGCUUCGUGCUGGAGGCGUGCGCAACGACGGCAUCAGGUCCGGUGUGUGCGAACCAGACCUUGGGUCGCAACACCACGGAGUGGUCUCUGGACCCCCUGGACAGCUUCCCCGCGCCCAACUUCCUCACCGAUAAGUAAGAGUGUAGGGCUGAAGAACCGGAUAAAGCUUCCGAGCAUCCCUGUCAAUAGUGAUACCUGCAACAGGAAUCGCAUAUAAGUCCUGAUCCCGGUCUUGAUGACGCUGCGCACGCAGGGCCUCGUACAAGAUUGGCGAGAGCGCCACUGUCAGGUUCCAGAACCCUUGGGCCGGGUAAGUGGUGCCGUGGUGCCUUGAACUCCCAACAUAUGCAAACACAGAUUAGGUCUGCAGCAGCUUUUGCGGGCCUGACACGCCAAAGUGCUGCGCCGUUGAACCUUCUUUCCUUACCCUUCACCUCCCAUUGUCCGCACCCUGCCCGGCCUGCCUGUUGCUUCCACCAACAGAGCCCGGCUGAUGCUGACGUGGGGCAACAACUACGCCUCCAAGCACGAGGUGGUUGCCUCGCUGCCCGCCGGCCUCGCCUCGCACACGUUCGGCCCGUUGGGCAACGAGUGCCUGGGCGGCUGCAGCGUCUCCUUCGUUCUGGACGUGCCGCGGCUGUCCGCCUCGGCGCUGCCGCUGCCGCCCCCGGAGCAGCUCAAGGUCAGCAAGCUGUAUGACCCCCGCGCGCCCGCCACCUACAGCCAGCAGCUGUCGCUGACGGUGCUGCCGGAGAACGAGCUGGCCGUGACUGUGGCCGUGGCGGCGGCGCCGGGCGUGACGGCGGGAAGCAUCACGGACGCUGAUGGCAAGCAGCUGCUUUCCAUUGAGCCCGGCAGCGAGGCGACGGUGAGCGACUGUGCCGUGAACUGACACACAAUUUGAUUGCACAGAACUGCGUCGUGAUAAGGAAGACCGAAAUGGGUCAGGGAAAAGGUCAGCAUCAACCUGUUGUUGGCUGCAUCUGAACUUUUCGUGCAGGUGACCGUGACUGUCGGCAGCGUCGGUGCCGGCGCCUCCGUGACUGUGUACGGCGUGGACAAGGCGUUCCUGGACCUGCUGCCGUACCCGCUGCCGGCGCCGCAGCAGGAGGUGGUGCUGCGGCUGGCGGCGGCUGUGGCGGCGUACGGCCCCAGCGCUUACCGCCUGGCGCCUGGAGCGGUGCAGGCCGUGUUCGCAAAGCUCAUGAGCCGGUAAGUGCUCAGUAUUGCAUGGCGCCUUGCUCUGUAGCGAAUGCCUGGCAUUGCUGCACCCGUCGACGAGCAAGCCCACAUACCCGUCAACCCAGCGCUGUGCACCACCUCUCAUCGCCCAUUCCCCAACACCAGCCCUUUCUGUAAACCCGACCGUCACCUCAAAACCCGCACCCACGCAAUGCAACGCCUUGCCGCCCCCCUCUGCAGCCUGACCGGCCUGGACCCCUGGCUGCCCGCCGACACCACCGUGCGCCCCGGCGACACCGGCGCCUACUUCCGCACGCCCUACUACUCGCCCAGCGCCACGGCCUCGGCCGCCGCGGUGGACAUGGAGGACGCGGCAUACCUGGCGCUGUACACGAGCCCGCUCACCUACCUGGCGUCGGUGAGUGCUGCUAUCCUAUAGAUAGGUGGUCCGCGGCGGUGUGUUACAAGUCACGCGGGUUUGCCGAACAUGUUCACGCGGUGGGCACGUGGCGUCGGGUAUGAAGGCUGGGCUGACCUCCACCGUUCCCCACUUCGCUUCCUGAACGAACCCAGCAGACCUACAUUGGCCGCUACGGCGGCUGCGGCAUCACGUGCAUGGACUCCGCGGCCAGCAAUGGUGGAGGCACGAACGUCGUUUCCGCCCCCAGCGUCCGGCCUUUGCCUGGGCAGGGCGCCGCCACCGAUGAUCAGUCCAAGGGGGUGACUGCCCCCGAGAGUGGCGGCAGCAGCGGCAGCGGCGGCAGCAGCUCCAAAACCGACAGCAGCGUCACCGUCCGCCAGGAGGCUGACUUCAUCGUGACGCCGCUGUUCACCACCGCCGUCACCGACGCGUCCGGUGUGGCUCGCGUGGCCUUCACCGCGCCGCCCAACCUGGGCACGUUCGUGCUGCGCGCCUUCGCCGCUUCUGGCGCCGCCGCCAAGUACGGCUCUGGCGAGGCCAAGCUGGCGGUGCGGCGGGCGCUGUCGCUGACGCCCAGUGUGCCGCGCUUUGUGCGUGUUGGCGACCAGUUUGAGGCGGGCGUGGUCGUCACCGUAGGCUCCGCGCCGGCCAGCGUCACCGUCAGCCUAAAGCUGGAAAACGCAGCCGACAGCCCUCUGACGCUCAACGGUGUCACCUCCAAGACUGUGACCAUCGCAGCGGGCGGCGGUCUGCAGCAGGAGGUGCGCUUCAGCUUCACGGCGGUCGCCAUCGCGAGCGCUACGCUGGUAUUUGAUGCGGUGGACUCGGCGGCCGGCGGCGGCUCCGACAGCCUGAGCCUGGAGGUGCCGGUGUACGGGCAACAGGGCGACGUGUGGGUGGCGACCUCCUUCGCGCUCAAGGCGCUGCCCGCCUCCGACUCGGAUGUGGUGCAGUGGCAGGAGGGGCUGGCGCUGCCGGACGCAGUGCCGGGAAGCGGUGAGCUGCAGGAAUUAUAGGGGAGGGGCCGAGCCUGCCACAUUUCUAAGUGUCGCUUUUGCGAUGCCUGCAUGCAUCCCUUUACUUGGAUAUCAAGGCAAGGCAUUUGCUUUGGCAACACGCUCGCUACCCAGCUGACCAGUACCGUACCUCGCUGUGCUUGUUUGCUGUUGCUGCAGGCGGCCUAGCUCUUACGGCGGGUGUGGGCUACUGGCCCUCCAUCGCGGCCACCUACGACAACCUGGCGCAGCGGCAGGAUGACUACAGGUAGGCGCGCGGACAUGCGCACAAGUGGCUCCCGUUGCACCGGCUUGGGCACCACCUGGUUGCCGCGAGCACACAACAGCCGGGCAUGGCGCAUGCAGCAUGCUGCACUGACCCUCCCGGACGGCCUUGUAAGCUUGCAGCGACCAUGUCCUUGUCCCGUCGUACUGAUCCUCAUCCUUUCCCUCGCCUCCUUCCUUCACCCGCAACCCCUUGCAGCGGCUACGCCUAUGCGCAGCCCUCCAUGCUGUGGGCGGUGCAGCCGCCGCUGCUGCAGCGCUACGGCCAGCCCGCCUCCGCCGCCGGGCCCGAGGCGCUGCUGCACACGGCCUACACCAACCUGGGCCGCCUGACGCUGUCCAACGUGGGCCUGGUCUACUCCGACCCCUCGCGCUGGUACUCCUGGACGCCGACACGGUGAGGGACACGCAGAGUGCUUUGUACGAGCUGUAGGUCGGAGGUGCGCCUGGCGGUCCAUGUGCAGUGCCCGGCUGCUUAUUCGCAAGCAUGCCCGUAAUCUCCCAUCCCUCGGUCAUGUCACCACCUCCCAAUCGCUUCCCUCCCCACCCACCCCACACACGCACACGCAGCACCGACAUGUACCUCAACAGCUGGGCGCUGUUCCUGGCUGCCGAGCACGCCGCCUCCGGCAAGGCCCUGUCCGGGGACCUGGCCGCCGCCUACGCCACCGACUGGUCGGGCCUGGCCGGCAACCUGGUGCCGCUGUGGCGCGCGGCGGUGGAGCGGCAGCUGAUCCAGGACGCACGCGACGCGCGCAUGUACUCCAACAACAAGAACGCCUACGAGGAUUGGUACACGCUGGCCUGGGUCAGGUGGGUCUCCCGUGACUGCGGGUGCUGGCGCUCGCGCUGGUGCAUAGUGCAUGUUCGUCGCAAACCACAAGCACAUUCUUCAGUGCACAAUUGUUGAACACCACAAGCACGUGCUAUGCUGUUGCUGCUCACCAUUUGACUGUGAUGCUGGCCAUUCCGCCGUGCACUCACACGCUUGCUCGCCGACCUUCCAUGCACCGCCGCCCGACAUCAGGCUGGCCAUGGGCCCCGACUGGAACCCGCCCGCCUGGCUGGAGUCUCCCAUCAACAACGACCUGUCGCUGGCCACCCUGCUCAACGCCGUCAGCGCCAAGAAGGCCGGUCGUGAGGUGGGGCUUGCAUUGGGCGGUAUGUAAUGCAUUGCGCCUCCGCGCUGCGCUCUGAAGUAUUCUUGCUGCGCAUCGUACCUGCCGUACCUAACAUCUGCUCUCAUACAAUCUUGAUGGUGUCCGCAGACGCGCGUGCUCCUGUCGCUGUACCUGCAAGCUCUGGGCUCCGCGGCGCCUUCCUCGCCGCUUGUGGCCAACACGGUGGCGGAGGUCACCUCGGCGCUGCGCACGCAGGGCCGCACCGCCUACGUGGCCACCGGCCCUGGUGAGAUGCACAGCUGGCCGGACCUCUCUGGCCUGUCCCGCGCCAUUACGCACCCAAGACGGAACGCCCGCGCCAAAGCGCUUUGUGCGCCUCGUCCCAACCUCAACCCAGCUGCUCUUCCCUGCACAAAUCCACGCGACACCCGUGCCCGUGGCUCUGACCCACUGCCGCUUCAACCUCCCGUGCACAGGAGCCGCCUCCGCUGCGUCGCUGGACGAGCAGGCCCUGGCCCUGCUGCUGCUGCUCCGCUCCGGCGCAACACACCAGCUCAUCCCCAAGCUGGCGGCCUACGUGGCCAACCCCAGCCAGGCGGGCGGCAGCGUGGGCUGGUUCAGCAUGUACCCCUCCGAGGCCGCGCAGGGCCUGGCGGGCGUGGCACUGGCGGCCUACGACGAGGCGCGCGGCAGCACCAAGCCCGACGUGGAGCUGUUUGCUGACGUGAAUGGCCUCACCGUGCUGGAGGUGGGUCUAGUCGGGUCUGGCCGGGUCUGGUGCCAUGUCUUGCGCGUAGUGCGUUGGGCUAGGGCGCAUGUGUGAGGGGCCACAACAAUGCGGUACAUUGCAAAGCGUGCAGGGUUUGACCGGCGCGAUCUGUCCGAACAGGGACACAGCCCAUCUGACAUCCAUCAUACCACAGGCCACCUUCCGCACCGGUGCUAACGCGCCCGUCAGCAACACCACCGCGUGGGAGGACCUGCCGUCGCCGCCCACCGGAUCCCCCUCAGAGCUCAACUUCGAGGUAACCGGCACCGGCGAGGUGUCUGUGGCUGCGUCGCUCCACUUCGUUCCCUCCGCGCUGCUGUCGUUCCCCUCCUACCGCGGGCUGUACGUGGAGGCGGCGCUGCAGCAGGUGGACCCGCGCACAGGCGGCCCCACCGGCGGCCGCCUGGCGGCGGUGCCGCUGGGCUCGGUGGUGGCGCUCACAGUGCAGCUGACCACUCCCGACGACCUGGGCGCGGUCACGCUGUCCGUCAUGAUGCCCGGAGGCCUCGAGUGAGUGGGGCGGGGGGGCGGGGUCAAAAGCGCUUGCUACUGGCUCUUAAGACGCCGCUAUCCUGUUCUGUAAGCACUUGACAACCAACUUUGGUCUGCGCCCGUAACUCAUUCUCACCCAUCCCUCCAACCCCUGCCGCAGGCCCCUGGACCCCAACCUGGUGGCGGGAGCUGACAGCGCCUGCACCGACAGCUGGGUGGACGGCAGCAGCUGGGGCUAUGUCUACCGCUGGUACUACUGGUUCCCCAUCUGCCCUGCCCAGGUACGUAGGCUUGUGUGCGCCUGGGCUGUGAAACCCGGGGCCGCGGGCCUGGAGCCACGCAUUCAACUGUCUUUGCUGUAUGCGAUGGAUUUUCUGCUUUGCAAGGACGUGAUGCCCUGCGGCGCGUAAAUCCAGAACCCGGGUUGGUGCUCCUCAUGCUCCUGCCCAUGAUCCCGCCCCCGCAGGAGACGCGCCCAAGUGUGGUCACCUUCAACUACCUGUCCCUGCGCGCCGGCACCUCAUCCGUGGUCAUCAAAGCCGUGGCCGCCACCGCAGGUGUGUAUGGUGUACCGAUAGCAUGCCUAGGCUGCCAUGUGCCAACAUCGCGCGCGCAGCACAGAAAUGCCCGUGCGCACGCCUACAGCCCCUGCAGCUACCCAACCUGUUUCCGCCCCACUGCACGCCUUUGGCCGUCUUCGGCGCAGGCACAUUCGUGGUGCCUCCUAUCCGCGCCUGGGUGGACGAGCAGCCCGAGCUCAUGGGCAGCACCGCCGGCGCCAAGAUCAGCGUGUGCGCCGACUGCGCCGGCCCCACCUACGGCGCGCUCCCGCCGCCCCCUAAGCCCUGUCCCGCCGACUGCUCCGGCAACGGCGUGUGCAACCUCAAGACCGGCAAGUGCGUGUGCAACGCCUACUGGACGCGCGCCGACUGCUCGCGCAUGGUGCCUGCUUAGGCUAUACCGUGGCACGGAGUUGACGCGACACGCGCGUACGAUGCUCACCUCACAUUAUGUGGUGUGCCAGCGGCGGAGUCCAUGGAAUACCUGUUUUGAACUCAGAGGCCGCUUGUUCCGGCGGAUGGUGGAGACACGUUUUUGCACUGGAUUAAUUGGCGUGACGUGAGCCGUACGAAAGAAUGGUGGCAAGUAGUAAGGCGUGCAGCUUCGAGCUAUUGGCGACGCACAUCACAACCGCCGCCGGUGUCUACCUUCGGGUCCGGGCAGCGCGCAGCUUGAAGGACAUUUUCCAAGGAUAGCAGAGCCUUAUGGGCAUAGUUCCGCUCCAUGCCGGCCCCUACGGCCCUCAUGGUUGACUCAGUACUCUCCUACAAUUUCCGGUACUUGAUAUGCGUUUUGAUCAAGGUAUGAUUGAUGCGUUUGCUACUGUGGUGCUGGAAUUGCGUGCGUGCAUUUCUAGUCUCGGGUACUGAAAGGAAAUGUGGUUUACCGGGUCCACCAAGCACUCCAUAAUUCAAGGUGCGCUGGGUUCUGACGUCAUUGCUUUGGCAUUCUUGUAUUAUCAUGGACAAGGUGAGCGCUCCGAACUGCGUUAGCCUGCGCUGCAAGGCCUUGUCUGGCGGCAGCAUGUGGCCGUGGAGAGACAACGGUUUGCGCGGUAGAUAAUUUUGCCGCUAGUACUUCUGUGGUCGGAUGAGGGUCAACACACCGGUAGGGCUAAAGGAGAGACGGAGGGGAGGCCCUGUCGGCACGAGAUGCUAGGCUGGUACUGUGAGUUCUCAACGUCGGAGUUUUGAGCAUUGGAGAUGGGAGUGCUGCACGCGCAUUUACAAGCAUGCCGCCUGACCAUGGCUCGAACACGCAUCCAGCUUCCUGAAGCGCCAGCACAGACACGCACGCAUGCACGCAUAUACAUACGCCGUUGGCAUCAUCGCAUCAUGUAUCCUCGCUCUCGGCCGUGGAUGGACCUGAGCCUUUAGUAAUGCUGGCUACAGGCCGUAAUCACCAAAAAGCCACUGGAAGAGAGCGUAGCGUUUGUCGACCCCACGGUAUUCAGCGGCCUGCGUGGUACGCGUUCCGUCCAGGCAACGCCCAACAGCUUCAUGGCCCCUCAACCCGCAACCCGCUCAUCACCCGCGCGCGUCCUGCUCACGUACCAAGUGUCCACACGCGCAUUCGCAACCCUCUUGCAACCAAACUCAAAGCCCUACAACGGCAACAAGGCGCACCUGCAGUCCUGCCAUGUCCAGCCCACUUCCUAGCCUCCACCUUACAACCAGGCAUCACUUCGGCGCCGCUGCCCUCUUGCCGCACGCCUCCUUGUGCCCCGCAUUCCAGUGCGUGCGCUGGCACUCCACGCAGCAGUAGCUCGCCGCGCCGCCGCACCGCCCGCCGCACCGCUGCAGCGUCACGCCCGCCGCGCUGUCGCCGGCCAUCCUCACGCACGCCCGGUUGGCGCACAUGUCGCUCGACAUGCCCACAAGCUCCCCAGCCAACGCCAACGGCGGCAGCAGCGCCGCCACGCGCCGCGCCCACAGUGCACCGGGCAGCUUGCCCACCGAGCACCAGGGCGCGAGCAAUAACGGAAACCCCGCCUUCAGGGCUUCCACAUCGCGCGGCUCCGCGCGCCCGUUGCUGAUCAGCCGCCCCAACACAAAGAACUCCGCCGCAAUGGUGCCGAUGCCCUGCACCUGCAGGCCCAGCACCUGCACACAGGCAGCCUGAAGCGCCGCGUCGGCCGUGACCUUGGGCACGGGGCCGGUGGCGGGCCGCGAGGGGCUCGACGAGAAGUAGGGCGAGGGCACCUGGUACUUCUUCAGCUCCCUGGCCGCGUCCUCGGGGAAGGCAACCGCCAGGUGCAGCAGCGCGUACAGCGUCCACCGCACGUGCUCGCUGCUCACGGCGCUGCCCGCCACCGUGUUGGUCAUGAGCUCCGUCACCUCCGCCACCAGCUCGAAGCAGCUUGCGUGGCUGAAGUCCAGCAGCAGCAGCUUCCAAGCCUCCGCCUCGGCCUCCGCCGCCUCCGCCACCGCCUUGGCAGCAGCGGCCUCCGCCGCCCCGACGCCGGCGCUGCCGGCGCGCUGCCGCGCCUCCGCAGCAAACUCCUUGCAUAGCAGGUGCGCGUGCACGAUGACCGGCACCGCCCGGAACACCGAGCACGCCGCGCCCAGCGCCGUGCGCGUCUGCACCCCGAUGUGGUCCAAAUCAUCGUCCAGCCGGGCUGCGGGGUCGUCCGGCAGCCGACAAAGGCCCACUGUGCGCGGGUUGACAAACAAGCCCGGCAUGUGGCCAGCUGCGCUUAUGGCCACCUUUUGCGCCAUGACGCACAGGUUGCGGCCGGACCGAGCCAUCCAGUACACCCAGCGCUUCAUGGUGAAGCUGCACAGCGCCAGAGCCUGCAGUGCCGGCUGUGGCACGCCCCAGUCAAAGGCUCCGGGCUCACCUUGCCUACGGGCAGAGCUGCAGCCGGUACUUCGUACACAUGCACUGGAACGUCACUAGCGAGCCCGCUAGCAAAUGCCCUACACUCCAGGGAUGGCAAGCCGCGCACGCUGCCCACCUCCAACGACUAUCCAAACCCCCUCGCGAGCCUACGCCUCCCCCACCUCGCGACUCACACCUGUCACCAGCCCAACGACAGGGCCGGUGGACUCCACCAGACGUGGAAGGAGCGGCGCGCCGACGCACCACCAGACAGAACACUCAAAUCAACACCAAACCGUGCAACCCCUACCACGACAUCUACCCCACGGGCGCCUACACCAUACAGAUUACGGACACAUACACAGAUGCACAAACCCUUGCACAUAUACACGGCCCCGACGGACGCCACAUUUCCAGCAUCACCAUGGGGACCCUACACACCCUUUACACCCGCUACAAUCACGCCCUGGCCAGUAACCCAACCGAAACCGCAUCUCUCCGUUCCCCCGGAGGUUUCCCCGAAGAUGUUGCCAAAUUACUCAUCCGCACCCAUGUUGAUGAAAAAGGCAAAACAUGCAAAACAGCGCCGGCCCUCGAACGCUCACUGCCGACGUGCCUAAAAACAACCCUACUCGACGCCUUGGCUGCGGCCCACCCCGGCGAGACCAACCCGGCCCUCAUGGAGCGCUUCGCCUCCCCACUCAACUGCUCCAACCGUGUAUGCCAAUACUGGAGUGCCCAACCGGCCGAUGCCCUCUUCGGGGCCACAACGGACGCCCUGUCUGCUCCUUUCACCGGCCUCUCCAUCGCCCACCCCGGCCCCAACCCCGCCUCGUAUACCAAAGCUCUGGCAUGGGCCGUGGCCACCACGGAACUGCUCGAAGGGCAGAGGGACCCGGCCAUAACCCUCAUGGUCAUCCCGCACAACCACAAGAGCCCCCACACCCGCCUCUUCAGUAGCCCUCAUGUCACACACAUAGCGCUCGCGUACCUCCCGCCCGACACACCCGCGACCAACCUAGACGAGGGGCUAGGCGCCCUUAGCCCGGCCAUCACCCUACGACACGGGUUGGACCUCCUACUCGUAGCCAACACAACAGGGGUGCAGGCCUUCACGGCCCGCAACAACCUUGCCAACCUCCAAGCCGCCCUUACAGACAUCGGGGCUCAACCGCCACGCCCACUCACACCACAGCUGCCGUAGCGCGAUGGCCGCGCCGAAUCACCCUCCCCAGAGACCGCCACCAACCCACCUCACGGCCAUACAGCCACCGAGCCCAAACCCGGGCGCGACAGGCAACACACCGCCGCACCCCGCCAACACCCCCGGCCCCGCCCACCUGCACAGUCCCCCCGCCCAUCCAAGCGGAUCUGAACGCCCUCAGGGACCGCUUCCCGGCCGUCUCCCGGCCGCUCUAUGACGCGGCCACUGUCAUCUGGACGGACGGGUCGUGCAUCAAAAUCGCAGUAGGAGACGACGGUGCCGAAAUGAACCAGCUUGGCGCCUGCGCCUGGACAGCAACAACGGGCGAACCACUCUACGUCGAGCCAGGCGGCCUAAACAGCACCAAUACCAUCCAGCGCGCAGAACUAUCCGCCAUCCUGGCUGCGCUAAGACACUACCGCCCCCGCGCGCAACUCCUGGGACUGACUAAGCUAGUGAUUGCCAGUGACUCGCUGGUCUCACUGUACCUUAUACGCAGAGCAAUUAGCGACCCAAUGAAACUGACGCUGUCCAAACACAAAAACCUACUCAGUGACAUUGUAAAGGAACUUAACGAGUGUGCCGACGAAUCCCUCCCUGUCGUAUCCCUGAAGGUACGCUCACACACAGGCCUGGCAGGAAACGAUGAGGCCGACAAAGGCGCAGCCCUGGUAGCCGGUAGCGUGACGCGGGCGCAAUGAGCCAAGCGGUGCACCUGCGACCUGACGAGCCCUGGGCUAACAUCUGGUGGCCCAAACGGAACUCCGACAACUUUUACAUCAGCGACCUGAACAGGGGAGUCCUGUCCUCACUACCCACGCGGGCACAACAUGGAUUCACAGACAGUACAGCCGUCCUCGACAACUGGGCCGCCGCAGCAGACGGCGCGUGCCCUCAAGCAAGCAACCUAACUCUGGCCAGCCCCACCCGCCACCCCUGGCUGGUAAAACAAAUCCUAUAUGCCAGAUACGGCUACCUUUUCAAUGCCGCCCUCAAACGCCGAUAUGGACUGGGCGGAAACGGGUUGUGCCCCCUUUGCGAGGCACCCGACUCAGGAGGGCAUAUCCUUGGAGGGUGCUCUCAACGGCAGAUGAAAGGCGCAUACAUCAACCGCCACAACAUAGCGGUACAGCGAGUGGCUAAAUGCAUCUCCAAAGGAAGCUAUGGCGGGGGCUACAUGGUAAUGGACGCGGGCCCACUUGCGGACCUGCCCGAGUAUGCAUCCGGCCAAAGACCCCCCGCCUGGCUUUUCCGUAAUGGCACACCCCCAGAGGUUAUAGCCAGGCUCCGGCCAGACAUUCUCUUCAUCAGUUCAUCCCCGCCCUUGACACUACAAUGACACAACGCGAAGACUAUCGGCCGCCCCGCAACCGCAGCCGCACACCAAUCUAUAUCCUUGAAAUAGGAUACAGCUCUGACUCCCAACACCUACAUAAACGAGAAGAGAAGUCCCAACAACACCAAGAACUCAAAAGCUCCUAGAAGAAGCUGGAUGGACCGUCCACUACUCACCCGCCGAGUGCAUCGCCCUAGGUGUCACUGGUACCAUACCCGCAAACCUGGUCCCACUCCUGACCACCCUAGGCGUGCCCCCCAAGGCGGCCAAAACCUGCGGACACAAGCUCCACCACCACGCUGUCAAUAGUGCUGGAGGCAUAAUUAAAGCCCGCAGGAUCAUGGAAUACGGGCACACGAGGACCCCAGGGUGAUGUCCCCAACCGGCCCCCCUUGCGUGGUGAGGCGGCAGGGUAGGGGAUGGGCCCCCACACUGACCCGCCUUGCAUGCCCCGAUAAUCCACGCCAGGCCCUACGGGCCGGCGUUUCGAUUAUUAUUAUUAUUAUUAUUCCUAUAUCAUAAGAAGAAUAAUAAUAGAAACCGGACUUAGCCGCGCGGGCGAUCCUCCGGGGCCGGGGCGGGGGCGGGGCUCCGGGCGUGAGGGACCCAGCUUUGUUGCGAGGAGCGUCGCGCGUGCUCGCGACAUAGCAGGGGCCGCAUACGGGAGUGCGCUCCGCGGCGUUUGCAUCGGAGCCACGGCCAUUUGCUGUCCAGGCAGCCGCGAGGGACCCAGUUGUGUAAAUACAGCGCACAGAAUUCGGCCCCCCACUUGGGAACUCCCAGCACCUCAUCGGGGAAAUGGAGUCUGGGGAAAUGGGAUCCAAUGGCCGCAGAAUCGCUCGUUUUCACCCGNNNNNNNNNNNNNNNNNNNNNNNNNNNNNNNNNNNNNNNNNNNNNNNNNNNNNNNNNNNNNNNNNNNNNNNNNNNNNNNNNNNNNNNNNNNNNNNNNNNNNNNNNNNNNNNNNNNNNNNNNNNNNNNNNNNNNNNNNNNNNNNNNNNNNNNNNNNNNNNNNNNNNNNNNNNNNNNNNNNNNNNNNNNNNNNNNNNNNNNNNNNNNNNNNNNNNNNNNNNNNNNNNNNNNNNNNNNNNNNNNNNNNNNNNNNNNNNNNNNNNNNNNNNNNNNNNNNNNNNNNNNNNNNNNNNNNNNNNNNNNNNNNNNNNNNNNNNNNNNNNNNNNNNNNNNNNNNNNNNNNNNNNNNNNNNNNNNNNNNNNNNNNNNNNNNNNNNNNNNNNNNNNNNNNNNNNNNNNNNNNNNNNNNNNNNNNNNNNNNNNNNNNNNNNNNNNNNNNNNNNNNNNNNNNNNNNNNNNNNNNNNNNNNNNNNNNNNNNNNNNNNNNNNNNNNNNNNNNNNNNNNNNNNNNNNNNNNNNNNNNNNNNNNNNNNNNNNNNNNNNNNNNNNNNNNNNNNNNNNNNNNNNNNNNNNNNNNNNNNNNNNNNNNNNNNNNNNNNNNNNNNNNNNNNNNNNNNNNNNNNNNNNNNNNNNNNNNNNNNNNNNNNNNNNNNNNNNNNNNNNNNNNNNNNNNNNNNNNNNNNNNNNNNNNNNNNNNNNNNNNNNNNNNNNNNNNNNNNNNNNNNNNNNNNNNNNNNNNNNNNNNNNNNNNNNNNNNNNNNNNNNNNNNNNNNNNNNNNNNNNNNNNNNNNNNNNNNNNNNNNNNNNNNNNNNNNNNNGAGCGAUUCUGCGGCCAUUGGAUCCCAUUUCCCCAGACUCCAUUUCCCCGAUGAGGUGCUGGGGAAAGAACUCCGCGUCGCCGAGUUGAGUAUCGGGCAGAGGUCGGCAAACGCAUUUUUUCUGCUGCGGGUCCCAGACCGAUUUCGGUAAACCCCAACCGGGGGGUGUGGGGGGUGUCCCCCCAGCCGGGGGUCCGGGGGCGGGAGCCCCCGGAGAAAAUUUUCGCAUAUCGGGCCUCAAAUAUGUGCAUUUUACUAGGGUUUCCGCGUGUGCAAGGCUUGCAUUCGUCUUACGUGUUCAACAGCACAUGCCUGGGCAGCUGCUCUGUGGCAGGCAGCCACAAAUCCUCGCAAUCCCCCUCCGUCCAGCGCAAGCCGGCCCCGGGGCAGCAGCCCCAAAGAAAUUUUGCAGAUUGCGCUUCAAAUUGCGACAUUUUCAAGGGGUUUUGGGGGCAUUUCGGGUAAACCAAGAGCAGGUCAAUCAUGUUUUGGGCCGGUUUUGGGGGGCAAUUUUGGUUUCUGCAGCGAUUUCGGUGGUGUAAGUACCCGCAGCGGUUGGCUAUUCUCGAUUUCGGUUGCGGGUACAUCUGAGGGCCCCGAAGGACCCGAGGCUUAUGCCGACCUCUGGUAUCGGGUCUGCGCGAGCACCGGUGUGUGGCCGCGUGGCCCCAUGAAAGGGACCCAGCAAUAUGAAUAGAAAUGUAUAGGCAGCAUGCGCAUCAGGAACCGGCGAGACUGCAAAGUGGUGGCUGUCAGCUCCGUCGCGCUGCGAGGUCGUCACAGGCCGAACGUGCACCGACUGAAAACGUUUGGAUGAAAACGAGGUUCUUCGGGGAAGUGUAUAUUUGCGCGGGUGCGCGGGGACCAGCUAGGACGCGCGCCCCACUCGCAAUUUACCAGCGGGUGGGGCGGCCAAUAGGCCCGCUUCUUAGGUGAAUGGGGCGGUCCCACGCAAAUCGUAACUAUAUCGAAAGCUGCUGGUGCCGCAGCUGGCUCCGCCACCACUGCGGCAGGGGCGGCAGCAGUCAUUGGCACAGCGGCCGCAGCCGCCGCCGCCCCUGGCCCCCUGCCCUGCAGUGGACCCGCGCCGCCGUCACGCCCACCUCCCUCCCUGCCGGUGUCUCCGCCUUGCUCCGCGCCAGCUGCAACCACGUCUGCAGCGGCUGCUGGUGCCGCAGCUGGCUCCGCCACCGCUGCAGCAGGGGCGGCAGCAGUCCUUGGCACAGCGGCUGCCGCCGCAGCCGCCGCCGCCCCCAGCCCCCGGUCGCAUGCUGCAGCGUGUGCGCUAUCACCACAGCACGGGCAUGCGUUGGCUGCGCCAGCGGCGGGCCAGCCCUCCAAGCCCUCCGGAUAGUCACGUACUACGCCAUCCAGGUGGUAGUAGGCGUUGAGCGCGUAGCGCAUGCGCUUUCUUAGCUUGUCCCUGCCCAGCUUCGGAGCUGCCGCUGCCGCUGAGUCGCUGAGAGGCCAGACGCUGUUCAACCGCCAUACCUCCAACAUGGCAGCUGCAAAUGCGUCUGCGCUCUGAUGCCGACUUGAGUAGCAUAGGCGGGAGAACUGCUGGAGUGUUGUGGCGUGCCACCACAACACCAUCUGCCCCUCCGCCCGUUUGGUCAGGUCCCACGAUGUUGGCGUGUCCGGCAGGCAAUCCACAACGGUGGGCUGCAUGCUGACGAACUUGCAGCAGCGCUUGCACCAUAGCACCGGCACGGCCACGAUGACCGGCUGCUCCCAAGUGACGACCACCACCGGCACCUUGUGCGUCAGGUUGCAAGGCUCGCAGCAUUCGGGGCACUCACUGCCCCGCGCCUCCACAAGGCCGGUGAUUGCUGCUGCUUGGCACUGCAGCAACAGCUGACGAGCAGCACUAGCAUCCGCGUAGUCCCGCAGGUAAGCCGACGUGAGCUGUGGGCUUUGGGCGAGGGACUGUUUUGCGUCUCUGCGUGUCUGUCGCGUGUGGUCCCUGAGCGCUGCUCCCGAGUCCCCGGCAGCACCCGGGUCCCCGGCAGCACCCUCGACAGUCUCCUCGACGUAACCCUCGAGGUCCUCUAGCUGCUGGUGCUGGUGCUGCUCUGCUGCGAAGCGCCCGUCUGCGGCCCGCUUCCGUGAUUGCGGCUGAGGUUGAGCACCGCCGCGCCGGCUCUGCGGGUUACUGCUACGCUGCGCUUUUUCGUCCUUGGAAGGUAGCAAACCCUUGUAAAACUUCUUGUUCUUAGCGACACUCCCGGCUGAGCGGAAAGACAUGACGACACAUUUAGUCGGGAGAGUCGGUGUAGUAUCCCGGGUAAUGUUUAGGAUGCGAUAACGUGUGAUCAGCGUUUAGAGGUAAGGCGUGCAGACUAAAGGGCCUGCUGGCGCUGUCAUGCAGGGGUCCGAUGGGGGGCGAUGGUGGGCCGGGAGCGCGGGGAACUUCUCUCGCGGCUUCCGGGCGAGAACCUUAUGCAUUUUGAGCUAUCUGCAUGUGGAUUUGCAACUUUCGAUAUAAUUACGAUUUGCGUGGGACCGCCCCAUUCACCUAAGAAGCGGGCCUAUUGGCCGCCCCACCCGCUGGUAAAUUGCGAGUGGGGCGUGCGCCAUACCUCCGGGGACGCACCAUUGCGUCAGCCAGUUUGAGUGCAGGGCCCAGGCGACUCCGCACCUCCCUGAAUCUAACGACCGUAAUCGUCAUUGUCUCGCAGAGCAAUACUCAAACGCACUUUCGUCACCAACUUACAAAAAGGGUCUCGUAGCGGCCCAACCAAAAAAAGCGAUAGGGCGCUUUAUUCUGACCGGCAGCGCGUCACAACAGCAAGCAAGUAGUAUACCGGUGUAGCAGGUGCGGCGUGCGUGAUGUUUGGGGCCCGUUUGGUGUGGCGACCUGGCGUUGUGGUCGCGACGUGACAUUGCCGCUUUACAGUUCGCGGCCGGGGUCCAGCCAAGCGCGCAUGGCUGCGAGGGCGACAGGGCACGCACCUGGAGCACUACCGGGCCAGAAGUAUGGUGUCGGCGAAGUAUUCAGCCGGGACCGUCGGGUUUGUGCUAGGUUCACACUCGCAUCCCAUCCAAGUGAGUCCCCCCCCCCNNNNNNNNNNNNNNNNNNNNNNNNNNNNNNNNNNNNNNNNNNNNNNNNNNNNNNNNNNNNNNNNNNNNNNNNNNNNNNNNNNNNNNNNNNNNNNNNNNNNGUUGGGGCAUGGACCUUUAGGUUGGUGGGUAAAGUUGGUGAUCAAAGAUGAACAGCUAAGGUGCCUCCCGAGGCUUGUUUGGCUUCAUACAUUGGUUCCGAUGGCGCAUUUAGUUCCCAGAGGGGCCUUGUAUACGGGAAUGUAGUCCUGGAUGAUGGGUACACCAGCGCGGGUAUGAUAUGGGACCGUGGUUGCCCUUGGCUUGGUUGAGGGAGGGCCAACACAUGGCACAGAGGCAGAUACCCUACAGCCAGCCAUUUCGCCCGCAUAUGGCCAUGCGAACUUGGGGUUGCACCCAACAGUUCGACCGCGACCCCGGUGCCUCUUGGAUGCUGUCAUAUUGUGCAGAACUGAUGCACGCUCAUCCAGUGCUGCCUCCACUGCAAUGGAUGGACCGUCAUCAUUGCCAGGGACUGCAGCUGGUGCAGGCAAUAUUACACCACGUGGGCCGUUUGGAUUCCAGGUGUCCGGGCCAGAUCCAUUCGCAUAUGCAAAGGCAUGCUGCUGUAGAGCUGCAACAUAUAUGCCCGUGACACAAUAACGCUCUGCCAACAUGGAGCAGGUGUUGUUGAAGUAGCAUGGUAUAACCUGAGAGCUGACAGUUGCCCCAUCAUAAACACACAGGUGCAGUUUUGAAGCACCAGCAGGUCGCUGUGUGGUAAGGUGGUCCAGCAGCUUGCGGCAGACAAUGUUAGCAUGUUGCUUCUGAGCGCCAACAGUGUGGAGUGUGGUUCUGCUGCUAGUGGAGCACUCGCUGAGGACUGUUUGACGGUAGGUCAGCGCCUCAGUGCGUGCAGCUUGCAGGUCACCAAGCACAGAUGCCACACGUGCCUGGAGGUCAGGUCGGUCACGAUUGGCAACCGCCCCCCCCCUCCACGCCCCCUGAACUCCCCCCCCCUUGCCGCUUUCUGCAUUGUGCCCCCCACAACGUGAUCGUUCAGGCAGAGAAUGGGCAAGAAAGUGUAUGGAGCGAAAGGGAAGAACGGCGGCAAGCAUGCGGCUGAGGUGGGUGCCAGGGCGGUGCGAGAGUUGGUGUUGAGGUACACUCUGUGGGGUUGGGGCGCGUGGGGGCAGGGCGGGGCUGGCAGCGUGUUCAUGGCGGGGUGCAGGUGCAUGUAUGAAUUUGGUGACGGAACAGCAGAGCACUAGAAGGGGCGAGUGCUGUGUGCCAGAGGGUUUGGUCCAAGUGUUGGUGUGCGGCGGUAACACCCGGCGUGUACAGGUAUAAAUUGCAACUGGGCGCAGGGCAUUGUGUUGAGUCCCCCUCGCUAAACAUCCUUCACAUGCAGGCCAAGUCGCCCGGCUGCGGUUACGUGGUGCAGCCAGCCCCGCAGCUGCUGCGGGCCAUGGUGAACCCGCGCGCUCUGCGCACCAGCAAGGUGCCUCGCUGUGUACCAACUGGCGGGGCAUUGGGCGAGCGGGCAUGCGGGGCCUGGAGCAGCAACACGGUGAACGGCGAGUCACUGCCUCCAGUGCAGCGACCUGCACCGGCGGCUGUCAAGGCGCAGCAGGCCGUGCUGGCCAAGAUGCGAGCACAGCUGUGGCGCCGGGCGCACCCAUCCGCUGUCCACCAGCACAACCUCAGCGUCAUCAAGCAGCCCAGGGCUGGCACAGCAGCUCGCUCCCCUCACCAGGUGGUGGAGCCGCACGCAUUCCUAUGCAGCGUGUGCCUGACAGCAGGAACGGCCUCCACGUGCGCUUGCAGUUGACAGGCAUGUACCAGCAGGCAUGCUACAAGGCAGCAUUGCUUCAGCAGGAGCUGUACGGGGCAUGCUUUGAGCGUCGCUCAUGCACGCCAUUGACUGCUACCAGCAGGCGCUUUGUGGUGGCAACUCGUGACCGACCUGACCUCCAGGCACGUGUGGCAUCUGUGCUUGGUGACCUGCAAGCUGCACGCACUGAGGCGCUGACCUACCGUCAAACAGUCCUCAGCGAGUGCUCCACUAGCAGCAGAACCACACUCCACACUGUUGGCGCUCAGAAGCAACAUGCUAACAUUGUCUGCCGCAAGCUGCUGGACCACCUUACCACACAGCGACCUGCUGGUGCUUCAAAACUGCACCUGUGUGUUUAUGAUGGGGCAACUGUCAGCUCUCAGGUUAUACCAUGCUACUUCAACAACACCUGCUCCAUGUUGGCAGAGCGUUAUUGUGUCACGGGCAUAUAUGUUGCAGCUCUACAGCAGCAUGCCUUUGCAUAUGCGAAUGGAUCUGGCCCGGACACCUGGAAUCCAAACGGCCCACGUGGUGUAAUAUUGCCUGCACCAGCUGCAGUCCCUGGCAAUGAUGACGGUCCAUCCAUUGCAGUGGAGGCAGCACUGGAUGAGCGUGCAUCAGUUCUGCACAAUAUGACAGCAUCCAAGAGGCACCGGGGUCGCGGUCGAACUGUUGGGUGCAAGCCCAAGUUCGCAUGCGCAUAUGCGGGCGAACUGGCUGGCUGUAGGGUAUCUGCUCGUGUGCCAUGUGUUGGCACUCCCUCAGCCAAGCCAAGGGCAACCACGGUCCAGUAUCAUAGCCGCGCUGGUGUACGCAUCAUCAAGGACUACAUUCCGGUAUACAAGGCCCGUCUGGUAGCUAAUGCGCCAUCUGACGCAAUGUAUGAGGCAGACCAGGCUCGGGAGGCAGCUAUGCUGUCAUUCUUGAUCACCAACUUAGCCCAGCACCCUAAUGUCCAGUGCCGUACCGGCAGUUUUGAGUGCAUCAAAGAGGACCUCAUUGCAUACAUGGAGUCAGAUAUUAAAUUGUACUUGGAUACAUAUGGCGAGGCAGCAGCCCAGGAGCGGUUUCGCCUUCCCAAAUUGCACCUUACAGCUUGCAACGGCACUGUCAAGUACCGUGCAGUGAUGGACCGGGACCGUCGAGGCAACAUAUAUGGCUCAUCUCAGGCAGCUGCUAUCAUUGAGCGUGAUGUUAAUGAGAUGCGCUGUGGGUCUGAGCCAUAUGUGUCCCCCGACUGGUAUUUUCCCAACCCUGCCAUUCUUGCAUCAUUCAAAGCCCAGCUAGCUGAAGUCAACGCUGCGGUGCUUGCUGCAAGGGCCGUCAUACAGCCUGGUAACGGUGUCCACGAGGGAUUGGAGGAGAGUCUUGGCACCAGCAACGGCACAGCACCUAUGGAUGUUGACGAGGUGCCAAUGGGGCUUGCUGCAUUCAUGGCCGUGGAGGCCUGUGGAACACAAGCCCUUUGUCCCGAUAUUGUGCAACACCGCUCUGCAAAUAUUGGCCCACUUACAUCAUUUCUGUCUGGUCUGGUCAACCAGCGUGUCCUAUCAAAGUCUUUGGAGGUUGCGCAUGUUGCUGGCCUUGCCAAGACUGCCAGAACACGCAUUGAGAAGUAUUGCAUUUACCUUGAUUCAGCAGUGCUACAAGCAUUAAUUAAGAGUGGGUGCGCAGCUGCCUAUGCUCGCACGUUUGCAGCAGAUGUGCAGAAGGUUUGGGACCAGUCAAAGAGCACUGAUGACAGGUGCGUGUAUAGGUCCUGACUUUGUUUGUGAAUGGCCUUGCUGCAGGCACAUCAUUUAUGGUGUGUUGCAUGUUGCAGGGGCAAUGCCAAGUUCACACCAGCUGACAUCCGCAUAUCAUUUGCACGGCUUGCACAUUUUGGGCCCUACAAGACCUUGCUGGCUCAGCAGUCCCUUGGCAGCAUAUUCUGGGUGAACUGCCUUGGCGCUAGCAGAGGUGCCAAUGCAACUCAUGCCAAUGAUGUAGUUUUUGUGGUGUCAGGUUGCCCACCUGUUGGUAUGUAUGUGGCUGGUCCAUCCUCUGUCUACACUGCCGCAGCAACUGUGCAGCAAGUUGAGGAGGCAGAUGCUGGUGAUGAUGACUCCAAUGGCGAGGGUAAGCAUGGCAAAUUCGAAUUCCAAGACUUCCUUUGCGUGGUGAUGAUUGAGAACCCUUGCAGGUGGCAACCUUGAAGCAGAUGAUUAUGCGGGUGAGGACAGCGACUAUCUGAGGAUUCAGGGUACACAGGCCAGCACACCCACAGCAGCAGCUGUACCUGCAGCUGGGGCCAUGAAUGGGGGUGGUGGUGGGUCUGGAGAGGGGCAUCAGCAUACAUUUGUACCUCCACCCACCAGCCACAGCUCUGGGGGACCCAGCCAUCAUAACAACAGCCAGGCUUCGCAGUUAGGAAGGGCAUCAGGCAGUCAUGGGGCUGCAGGUGACCAAUUACAGCUGGCUGUUACACAUCAGCACGGCAGUGAUUCUGUGCGGUGGCAACAUGCGUUGAUGCUGGUUAGUGCUCCAACCCAACAUCAUGCAGAUGAGGUCUGCCAGCGAAUGAUGGUUGAGCUGGACGCCUGCAAUACAGUACCAGCUGGCAGCAUUCAGCAGCUGCGGCUCUGUGUGCGCAAACGCACUGCAGGCAACUCUGCUGGGGGACCUGGUGGCAGCGCAGAUGUGACACGCCCAGGCUGUGUACAUGCACUUGCAACCAGGCUGGCUGAUCUGGCUAGCUGUUCCCAGCCAACUGGCCUGCUGACUUAUACCACUUACUGGUCACUGGAGGAUUACGUGUACAUCAAGUCUCAGGCUCCCAAAGGUUGGGAUGUGUUGCUCCGGUUCAUCAUGGACAGUUCUUCCUCUGUGCCUGUCCUGCCUUCUGCGGAUGAUCGUGGUCUGCCAACCAGCAGCAUUGGCCAUGAGCUUGACAAGGCCUAUGCUAUUGUUACAUCUGGUGAGGCAAAUGUGUGUUGCUAUGCUGCAAGUAAUACAGUGCUUGACUAAACACAUGCAGAUAUGAAUGGAGCACCUGUGCUGUCUGGGGGACACGGCCUACCAGCUAUGCAGCACAAUCAGACCACAGGGGCGGCAGCUGGCCCCAGCAGUGGUGUAGCCAUGACAGUCAAAGGUAUGCAGUGUCAAUAUGUCAACACGAGUGCAGCUGCAUGCAAUAAUGCUCAUUUCUUGCCUGCAGUUGAGCAGGCCGCCCCAAUGGCGCUGGACACUGGCGUGGCGGAGGUCAUAGAUAUAACUGGUGCGGCAGGGUAUGCUGCUGCUGCAGUAUGUAUUGCCUUAUAUACUGCGUCCAUUGUGCAGGUGACACAGACAACGAUGAUAAUGUAGCCACACAGCCGUAUUGUAAUCCUCCUCAGCAAGCGCACAAUGUCGGUGUUGUGGAUUUAACAUCCGAGCACAUUGACCUUGUUGAGAAUGGCAGUGAAUCAGGUGGUGAAGAGCAACUGCCCGGUGCGUGCUUUGAAGGGGGGCACUUGCAUGCUAUGGCGCUCACCAUUUUGCUGGCACAGGUAUGCACCAUAACACAGCAGCAGCACAAGGGGUUUCUCAUCUCACGCUGACAGACACGGCAACAGCAACAGUGAUUUCUGUGCUUGGAAGUCGGCAUCGUGUGCUCACACGCAGCGAUCAGCACCCUACCCCAGCACAACAGCUGUGUGCAGCCAUGCUAAUUGACAACGUGGCUUGCAGCACUGGAACUUCUCUUCAUAUUGUUGCUGCCCCAACUGGCAGUGGCAAGACCUGGAUUGCCACGGCAGUGUUGCAUACAUUGAUGGCGCAAAACACUCGCCCCUACAUUGUGUGCCUGGUUGCACCUACACGGCAGGUUUCUGAGCAGCUAUUUGAUGCAGUUCGCCACCUCAACCAGCCUGGUGUAUCAGUGGUCAUGCUCAUGGGUCGGGAGCGCAUGUGCGCUCAUGAAGAUGUCCGUUCAAAGCCUUACUGUCAGCAGAGCGAUGCAUGCAAGGUUGCUCUUGGCCGCAAGACAAAUGAUAUUGACCACGCUGGUGUAUCACCCUGCCAGUACAUUAAUGGUGCUCAAAAGCAUGUUCGCUGGAGUACUGGCACGUUCACUGAGGCAGGCGUAACUUAUGGGCCGCCACGGUUGGCUGACAUUGAGUCAUUAAGUGCACAAGUUGGGGCGUGUGCAUACUAUGGGCAGGUCAUGGCCGCGCAUUCAGCUGUUCGCAGAAGGCAGAACCUGGUCAUCUGCGGGACCAUGAACCUGAUGGCUGACCUUGCUGCAAUGCAGACCAGGUAGGUGCCUGCAUCUGCCAUGCAUGGGCAAUACAGGAACAUGAUGAUUCACGUUUCACAGGCUCAAGGGCCAUGAAAGCAGCUGCGACAUCCUUCCAUCUUCAACACAUGAUGUCAUGAUUAUGGUUGAUGAGAUUCACAAGCUGGGGGCAACCGUGCGGGAUAUCCACAGCGCGGAGCUGGCAUGUAUGACCAUCAGCAGUGUAACGGGUGCCAUCAUGUCAAAAGCCAGUACCUUCAGCCGGGACUUCCGGAGCAUGUUACAAAGCUUCAGACAGACUGGUGUUGUGCCCUCCGCAUCCAUCAACUGGGCUGGCCAUGGCAGCCUUUUGUUGUUACUUGAAGCACUGGUUGCUUUGCCUAACAUCCUUGUGCAUGGGGGUUUGGUGGCAAGAACCAAUGCAGCUGGUCAGGAGCAUCGCCACGCCUCUGUUCUGGGGUCAUGCACACACACAGCCGCAACUGCUGGCAGCACUCAGCCCUGUAUGUGUGACCUGUGCACACGUGGUUGUGUCCUUCUCGAGUGGUCCGACAUUUGGCAGUGGUUGCUUGACUGGGGGUUUGACAACCCUGCUCUACUCGUCAGCAAUGCAGCCAGUGUGUUUACCAUGUAUGAUGACAAUGUCCAAAGGCCUGUGGACCUGGAACGCUUGAGGCCAGCAGAGGCAUUUACAGUGCUCCUGCAUGAAUGCUUCAAGCUGCAAGGGUCUGCCCAGCCUAUCUGGCGCACCCUUAACCUCAGGUUCUUGCCGUACAUCCUUGGAUUGGCCUCAGCGGGGACGUUUACCCUUGGAAUUGCUGCAAAAGACAUCAAACCUUACAUUCAGGAAUUUGAGGCAAUGUACAGAAAGGUCGUGGGCUUCUCGGCAACCCCCAUGGCACGGCCCUACAUGGUUGCACUGGAGGGCUGGAGUUCGUUGACUUCCAGUAACAGCAACUCCUAUUUGAUUCAGGGUGCCAUGGCAACACCACCAGUGUCUGCUGGUGGCAUCAGCAACCUUUAUGCGCGAUUUUACAUGCCAAUGGUCAGCAAUGUGAGCAUUGAGUUCACAAAGGAGCAGCUUGAGGACAAGGACCUGGCACGGGAUAUUAAGAUCCAGACAGCACAGGAGAUUCUGGCUUUUGCACGCAUUCUUGCUGCUGGCCGUGGCCUGGUAGUGGUGCUGCCAUCAGAGUCAAAGCAGACAAAGUUUUUUGAUGUAUGGAAAGAGGAAGACAGCAACGGUUGGAGUCUUUGGAAGAGUAUGGAGGACAGCAGCACCAUUCUGGUUGGCACAUCCAGCACAACUGUGGCUGAUUUCCAGCGGGCAUUGAAUCAAAGCACCAGCAAACCGUUGCUGUUCUUUAUUCGUGAGAGGUGUGUCAUUGUUGGGUGGUCAGCAACUUGGCCAAUUUGGGUACAUCCCUAACGACCGCACUGUGCAUGCAGGAGCCGGUUUGCGGAGGGCUGGGAUCCACGGGUUGACAAGGACGUGUCCGUGCUGCUUCUGUACGGCCUGCCUCGCCAGAACAUGUACAGCCCUCAGAUUGAAGCCCUUGCAGCUGCUUUUCAAGAUCAUGACCAGGCGCAGCGGCGAGCAGCAGGCAGUGGAACGGCAGCUGUCAUCAACUAUGGUCUGAGUGUGCGUGGACCGCGUGACCCAAAGCAGCGCUGUGGGCUGUUUAGGCAGUGGUACAUUGCGGAUGCAGUUGCAGCCAUGUCGCAAGCUAUGGGCCGUGCGUACAGGGGGCCGGCAGACCGUGCCAUUAUAAUUGCGAUUGGAGUUGCACAGCACAGGCAGAGCAUGCAGGCGCAUGUUCAUGCCGCAGCUGGUCCCACCAUGCAGGGUCCCGCAGGGUGGCAGGAGGUGAUGCGUGGAGCACGGGAGCACAUGCGGGCCUGGAAUUGGCUGCAUGAGUAAAGACACAGCAAUAGGCAUGUGUGCACAUAUUCAUGUCCUUGUUUUUCAGAGUUUGGGUUGUAACGGCAGGUGGGGGCACGCUGCAAGUGCAGCCUUUUCCAUGGACAUGUUCGUGGCAGGUGGUUAGCCAAUGGCAGGUGGUUAGGUAAUGGCAAGCAUGCAUGGCAUGCUGUGGUGGCUUUGACAAGCAUGCAUGGCAUGUUGUGGUGCCUGUGUCAGACAUGUGCAGCACAUAUGCAGGCAGGCAGGCCACGGCAACAACAUACUGGGACCUUGCUUGUUAACCUGUUUGCUUGUGGUGGUGUGGCUGAUUUUAGCACGGUGAUGCAGUGUAGCGUGCGUCCUACCUGACAAGCAAUGCUGGCUCAUGUAAGGACUUUGUUCAUGGUCUGGACUUGUGAUUGAUUGUCCAUGAUUGUAAUUGGUAUAUCAGAAUUCAUCUGGGCGCCAGGGUGGGGAUGUGGAUGGGGUUCAUGGGGUAGUUCAUUCCAGAGUUCAAAGUAACCAAAGCAACUGUGAGAACUGCAACCUGUGGAAGGGCAGGGCGGCCCAAGGCAGGUGGUGGGGGGCAGGGUGGGCCGGGCCGGGGUGACACGGGGCGGCGCGGGCGGCAGGGCAGGGCAGGGCGAGGUGGGGUGGGGUGGCCUCCCCUGCCCGCGGGGCAGGGAGGGGGUGGGCACGGUGGGGUCGCGUGGGCACCUUCGCAGCUGCAGCACUAGGGGACCCAUAUCAGGGGGGGCACGCCAUAUGGUACCAUAAUUAUUGAUAUGCAGUUGCACCGUCAUGUGCGGGCGGCAAACGCGGCAGCCGGAGCCCCCCGCACGGCGACAUGAGGCGCUCAAUGAACCGCAGGGCGUCCACCGCCUCGUUGUACAGCGGCGGCUUGGUGUUGGCGUCCGCCGUGGCGGCGGCCUCGCCGGAUUUGUCAAACCCGCAUUCUCCCAGGUCGACACCGGUGACCAGGGCCACGUCUCACUAUAAGGACGGGUUUGUGCGUUACGCAUGCUUAUUGUGCGCUACGCAUGCGUCUGGGACUGGACGCAUGCGUGCCAGAACGCAUGAAGCAUGACGGGCGGGGGGGGGGGGGGGCACACGGGGGACACGCCCGGUUCCGGGCGGGGUUGAAACCCAGGAUUGGGCGUUCUUAUUCAUACAAGCACCAUAUACAAUUCUAUAAAGCACGUUACCCUCGGUAUGUGAGCAGCAUAUGUUCACACAUAAUAGCGGGCUAGGUGUCGUGAAGGUCCCGCGAGCGCGAGACCAAUUUUGAGCAUGUUCGCUCAAAUCCGCUAAGCGUGAACCCACAAGCCCUGACUACGCUUAUUUACACCCUAUGAAAGCAAUUGCACCUAUAAGCGCAGGCUCGCAGGCCUCGGCGAGCAGUGUCAUUUUUAUGGGACCGCCAACAAAGUCAGAGUUGCACCUUCCGAUGCAUCUGGGUUGCUUCCAUAUGCCAUGUAGGCGACUCUAGGAGCGGUUGCAGGUCCGUUUGGGUCCCCGCUGCUCAAGAGGUCCGCCAUGAAUUUGGUUUCAUCCAAAGGGCAGCUCGACUAGCUUUUAAGAUUGCCGUCGCCUAGAUAGAGCAUAUAUAGCAUAUAUUAGGUGCUGUAGCCCGCCGGCAAGACCAUUCGGUGGACAUGCAUACAGCAUGCUGGUCGGAACAACAACUAUCGGUGCUGCGGUCGUCAAAACAUAAUCUUGUAUGCAUAUAUGUGCUAUGUAAAGCUUCAGGGCUGUGUCAAGCCCCGUUUUCUGGGACCUCCGUCCCCAUGUACCCAGCUCAGCACACAUGCGUGCGUGCCUGCCCGGAAGUGUCCCCGUCGAGCACACCCUGGCCUCCGAUCGCGCUCGUAGCUGGUGAGCUUAUACAUAUAGAUGUAUAUAUGCGAUAGGAAGCGUGGGGGCCCGUCCUGAGGCAGUUAGCAUGGGGUCAGUCUGUUCACCCCUCCGCCCCCCCCUAAAACCGCGUGUCAAAACACACACGCUUGCCGUACGACAUUAAACCAUCCGUUACACCACCGGAAGGGUGCAAACGUGUCCGGGAGCUACUGCCGAAAUCCCAGCGUGUACCGACUGGCAUAGCACCCCCGCCUAGGGUCUUAAAGUUGGGGGGUACCCUGAACCGGGCGUGUCCCCCGUGUGGGGGGGGGGCGUGAGCCCCCGGAAAAGUUUUUGCGUGUUGGGCCUCAAAUUCCGUCGACUAUCGCCGGGCGCGGGCGCCUGCUCGUAAAAAAUUUCACAAAUAACGUAACAUACACCACGCUUGGACUCUAGCACUGCAUCGGUACUUGUGCGUUGCACCAACUCCUCGCCAUUUCAUUUGUUUUUGCAAAGUUAUGCGUCGCCUAAAGUACAGUGAACAGCUUCUUACAUUUAGCAUGCAUUGGCUGGAGCAACGGGGCGGGCCAAGUGCACUUUACCGGUUACUGGAAAAACCGGGAGGGCCCGAGCUCGAUGCGACCGCACUGGCUAUUGCCCCUCCCCCUUCGGGGGAAGGGGCAAGCCAACGCAUACACGCAUACGUACAGCUUCGCAUACGUUCAAACCACCAUCAUCGUCCCGAGAAUCGCCUAUCAAAGACUGGGCCUACUCACGGCCAACCAACACGUCGGCAGCUGGGCAGCUGGACGCAGUCUACGCGCCUGGUACACUAGCACGGCUUAUCUCAGCUGCGGUCCACCUGUUUCAGCUUCAUCUGGUCGAAUUCAUUAGCCUCGUCAAGAAAGCGCGUCCUCCACGGCUUCAAUCGCUCGCGAUUGAAGCCGUGAAGGGUGCACCCAGUUCAGGUCACAGCUAGGGACCCUGGCCAGGCAUUAACCGUGGCUGCCUCAGCCAUAGGCACGGUGACACUCAGGUGAGUUUCCGGCCGGGGGAAGACCUGCGCAGAGGGGACAAGGACCAGGCAGAGAGCUGCGAAGCUCGCUUUGUACUCUUGCAUUCAAUUGAACAAUCCCAUAGUACUUGAGCCUUCAAACCAGCCAUUCCUCCAACAGCGCUCUCGCUGUCAGUUUUUAGUGUGGAUGGCUCUUCUCAGUCUCACAUACGUUUGAUUGUUGCGGUCAUAUCCUACCGGACAGAAUGUCUUGGAUACGCGGGGAUGUGCGGCUGCGUGGGCUCCUACUUGUGCUCGGCACGUUCGCCCUGGUGGGCAUUGAGCACGUUUCGGAACGCACAGUGAAGCUGAAGUAUUUUCUUCAGAAGGCGUUGCCGCUUAAUGUAGUCUUGACGACGCCCGAGGCGCUCUCGAACUCGGACUCGGCGUCAGUCGGCCUAUAUGGGAGGCAGGCGCUCACGGUGCGUGCGCUAUUCCUUACAUGCAGUGAGAAUUGAAACUAGAUUUCGUUACGCGGAUGGCGAGCGAGGCGCACGCUAUGGAGUUACCAGGCAGCUGGUGUGGGUGUCGUCCCUCCCACCCAACGCUGCUGACACCCCCAUCCAUUGUGAACGCCCUACAGGCGGUGUUUUCCCGGCCCGUGCUAGCUUUGGGCUCUGACUUUGGUACCCCGGCGUCAGAGCAGAAGGUGAGCGUUCAGUGGGAUAUGGGUUCGUGCGUGGUGGUGUGUUGGGCCCGUCGCCUCCUGACCCACAUGUAUAGCAGCUUGCAAGUAGCCAACUGGGGGGUAGCCAUCCAUGGGAUGGUGUGUAUCAAAUAUGAAGUGAAGUGCCGACGUCCAACCAAGUAGCCAACUGGGGGGAGGGUGGUUUCCCUUCGGGCCGGAGAUGGUCCCUCUCAGUGUUUCCAAAAGCUUAUACAAGGUAUUAGCGUUAUAGUACCCCACGGGUACCUGCCUGCUCAAGACAUUUUACUUCCAGUACCCGGGGGCCGAAGGCCCCGUCUCCCCUUCGUAGGGGGGGUUUGGGGGGGCGGAAGCCCCCCCGGAAAAUUUUUUCACGACCAUACCAAAAAACACUGUUUUGAGUGAAUUGCAUGCGUUUAAGUCUUGCCACAUCGUCCUGUCUUGCUUCCAAAUCUUGAGUAUCAGCCAGCCCGAAACAGUUUCCGCCCCGCUACAUGCAGCUUCCUGCGUCAGUCCGCACACCCACAUUAACCACAACUACUAAGUGCAUUAAUCCAGCAGCCCCGCCACAGCUUAGUCCGCCCAGCGGAACUCGGCACUGUCACGCCAGUGCUUCAGGGCUGCCGCGUACGGGAAGUCCGACACAGAGAACCACCGCUGCGCCAUCAUGCGCACAGCCAGGCACAGGUGCCGCUGCUCCAGCCGGUUGCGCUGCUUGUUCUUGAUGUAGCUCAUGGUGCUGAACACACGCUCCGCCUCCACUGAUCCGGGUACAAAUGUAUGAAUGUAAUACGCAUAGCAAGUAGUAUUUGCGGCGGGGCCCGGGUAGUAUAGGGUCCGGCGGAUUAAAUUUUUGGUACCCGUGUGGGUACUCGAGGGCCCAAUAAUUAGUUUCCAGUACCCGCGUCAAUUUCGGCGAAUUAUUUUCUCAGUACCCGAAUGGGUACUAGUGCCCGGUUUUGGAAACACUGGUCCCUCUUGACCUGGGUGCAGGGCACCCUUGCUUGGUCGGACUGUCCCUUCCUUGGAAUGUCGCAACCUUGCAAGUUUUUUGACAUGGUCAGGUUGCGACAUGCGGACACGUGAAUUGCGACACACGACAUAAUGCACAUACUGACCUAACGCAUCCAAACCCGCCAAACAUAUUGUGGAUGCAUUUAAUAUGCCUCUGGUACGCCGUGGCACACAACAAAACGUGUCACGGUUGCCACGGUGUUGGUGGCGUGGCGUAGGGUGCGGCCAGUGGGAGGAGCUUGUGGCUAUGCUAGCGCAAUGCACCGCCGCAAAGCUGGGAGAUGUUACUUAAAUGGGCUCCAGGACGCGUAGCUAUGCAAAUGUGGGCGAGUCUGGGUAUGUGGGUACGUCGUAUGUUGCUAUGUCACAUGUCGCAUGUCGGGAACCUGGCCAUGUCAAACAAUUUGCACACAGCCAUAUUGCCUUCUCAAGCAAAUGCAUCGCGUACCUAUCGUGUGCAGCUCCCGUUCCGCCUCAACUGCCCGGUGCCGGGCAAGGCGCGCUGGGUGUCCACCACCAUAGCACGGUAAGCGGGGCAAUAGCUUUUUAUCUGAAGUGCACCACACGCUGUCUGCCGCCGGUGCUAACCUUCCGCAUGAAUGACCGCAGCUUUGACCCGGAUGUGGACUGGCCCACGGACCUGGACUGUGAGCUGACGUGGAACGCUGGCCUUACAAGCUAUGAUGGUGAGCGCGUGGCAUAGGGGCGCUGUGGUGAUGUGGGUCAGCCUAUUCCGCGCCGCCACAGCCGCAGGCCUCGCAGCGCCUGGGUUCUCUGCGGCUUGACCUGCAGUGAACCUUCGGGCAGUGAAGUGCCGGAGGCAUGGCCGCACUCCUUUGCUGCAUCGCAUACACUGUCUUUGCGCAACGUUUUCCUUGUGCUCUUUAACACACAUACGGUACUAUCCCCCGCUACCCAUCCCCCAGGUGCUCCUCUGCAGCUCGGCGACACAACCGCAUCUCGCAAGCUUAGCACCACCCCGCAGAGUCUGGUCAUCAUCGACGUGCUGUCGGACAAGGCCGACGAGCUGACAGAUGGUCGCUGGGCCUCAAGCCUGGGGCUGCCGGAUGACAGCUACCAGGAGGUGCCGCCCGAUGGUGGGUCCGGCCAGGUUCGGCCAGCUCUUGGGGCCAGGGCGGGUGGCAGCCAAGGGGCGCAGUACGGUAGUUUAGCACAAACGCACAUGGAUUUAUUCCUACGUAACACCGGCGUUCCGAUGUGCUGGUGCCUCCUGCGCCCUGCCUCCGUCCUCAGGCCGCAUCGUGAUGCUGUCUUCUGGCAACGUCCACCUGGCCACCCUGCAGAGCUACCUCAAGGUGGGUUGCCGGCCGUGUCUGUGUGGGGAAAGCCAACGCGAGGGGAGCGGCGCACCUGGCAUGCAUCCGGGUCUGCAUGUUGUAGCUGUGUCACGACUGAUAUAAAGGCUACCAGGGAGUUCCCAGCCUUGGUGCCCGUGCUUGACCACAACACAUUCCCAUACUGAGUACUGACACGUGCAUAUGCCCCUGGACGCAGGUGGCGGAGGGCGCGCAGGGCAAGGGCGCCGAGGCGGCCUUCACUCUGGCGCCUUGCCAGAGCCCCGUGCCCUGGAUUUUCCGCUACACCAGCGCUACCGGCACUGGCACCCAGGUACGUGUCAAAAGUCUCAGUGGAAGGGGCGUCGCUAGUUACUGCCGUGGUUAGUGUUUGGGUGGGGCCACUAAAGCGCGAAGCAUGCUGCUGAUUGCGCUGGUACCGCGCACAUCAUGCAGGGUGCCACUACGCCUCUGAGCCUGGACGUCAACACCACCUGCGUCGAGGUCUCGCCCAAGAACCUCAAGCCCGACACUGUGUGAGUGCUGCGACUGCAGUGAACCCUGCACCACCACCCGCUCUUGCUACAGCACCGCACUGCAGGUACGCGCUUCUGUCCCUGGCCAACUUUACUAACCGCUUACCUGCAACGUCACUGCGUCACGCCAUGCACUCGCCCAGCCCUGACCUUGCCGCCCCGCCCCUCUCCACCUCCUUGAUCCCCCCGCAGCUACGCCGUGCGACUACCGGUGGGCUCGCGCUAUUUCGGCCUGUCGGGGCCGCUGCAGUCUGAGGCGGUGGCGCCCUUCCGCAGCCUGCGCCCCUUCCGCUUCUACUUCCAGCAGAGCUCCUGGCAGAACGUGUGGGCCGGAACCAAGUAGGUGGACAUACGCGCGCGUCAGGAUCUUCUUCAAACACUUCUGCCCCAGUAUUUGCAGCGUUUGCUUGCUGCAAUCAUCUCCAAGGAUGGACUAUAACGCUCCUUGCCUAUCCGCCCCUGCAAACCCACUCGGUCAGGUACCGCCGCUUCGACCUGGGCCUGCUGCACGGCCUGGGCUCCGCCGUGACCCCGGCGGCGCUGGCGGGCCGCAUCAGCCUGUGCGCGCGCGGCCCCGGCGGCGCCUGCAGCCCCGUGCCCUUCAGCCUGAGCCUGGUGGACAAGGGCCUGGCGCGGCUGAGCGUGGACAGCCUCAAGCCCGGCACCCAGCACACGUGAGCACAGGCGGCACGUCAGGACUGAGCUGUACAAUGCAGGCUGCACGUGCGUGGUUCUCCAGUGGCUAAAGGCAUCUUGGUGAAAUUGGUUAAACUGAACUGUGCUGGCCCCUGUUUGUUCCCACUAUAGCAUCACGGUGGCGGGCGCUGCCUCCAUCAUUGACGGCUACGACCAGGCGCUGCAGGUAAAGUGGGGUGGUCAGCCCCAUGCAUCACCCACGUGCAACCCAAUACAUCCCCACGCAACACCCAAAUUUUGUGCACCCUGUCACCCACCCACCCACCCAACCCACCAACGCCUCUCCCUCUCCUCGCCUCGCCUCACCGCAGGGCUCCUCGCUCACCUUCUACACCAGCUACAUCGCCUACUCCUUCGUCGGCCCCGCGCUGUCUAAUGUGGCCCUGCUGGAGCCCGCUGACGUGGAUAGCCUGGCGUGGCCCUUCGUCAGCCACGGCCCGCCGCCGCUGAACCCCGACCAGCCCUUGUACGAGCCCGCCUUCGCCAACCGGUGCGUUGAGGCCCGCGUGCUCGCAGCCACCCGCUUCACUGCAGCGUCAGACCGCGUUUGCUGCGCAUCCGCAUGUCUGUCUUGCUCAUGUAUGCAGAACGCAACUUGAUUUGUCUCUAUUUAUCAUCGUGUACUUCGCAGCAUUGACGCGUGGGAGGUGGACAUCAGCGUGGAGCGCAACCGCGUCAUGCUGCUCAAGUCGGUGGUGCAGUCCUUCGGCCAGAUGAACCUGCAGGUAGAUGCGGGCGCCCUGGCACAGCUGUGCACCACAGCUGGCGUACCGUAUGUGUACCUCUUCUGUGCAUUGCCGGCCUUUCCGCGGAUUUGCGGGUCACCGGGUCUCUGGUGCUGGUCUCUCAUAUCCACUUCCCACGCGUCAAUACUGCGAAAUUCCACCUCCCACGCGUCAACUAGCACUGCACCUCGGUACCCGUGCGUCAGACCAACGCCGGAACAUUGCCAUGGUCGUUCCACUCCCCUUGAACAGUCCAUCUUUGGUGCGCCCGCCGCCAGCGUGGCGGUGCCCAUUGAGCUGCGCACGAUCGGAUCCGGCGCCGACUGGCAGCAGCUGGCGCUGUCGCUGGCGGGCGCCAAGGUCCGCGUCGUCAGCUUCUGCUGCAGCGUGAGUUGGGGAGGGCUUUGGCUGUUCGGUGCGGUGCUGUGCCCGCACAUUGCUAGACUGACAUUUCCCUAGCUCACAUUUGCCCUAUACGCAAUCUGUGCUUUCCUGUCCCCCGCCUUUCCGCCCCCACUCUCUUGCGGCUCGCAGCUUGGCGGCAUCAGCGAUGCCAAGCUGCUGGUGCGCAGCGGCCUGUCGCUCAACGUGGUGCAGCUGGGCGACACCUUCCGGGCCUGGCUGCUUGGUGCGUGGGAAGCUGCGUGCCGUGGUGAUAUAUGUGGUAUGGUGCUGUGUGUUGGUGCGUCCACCUGUUGGCUGUGGGUGGUUUCAGGCCCCCUUGCUUCGGCGGUGUACGGUAGUGGUACCGGUGCCAUCCUGAUGCGGAUAAUGUUUGCGCGGCCCCCUUGACAGACUCCAGCGAGGGGGGAGCCGCUGUUUCGGGUGCCACCGUGUACAUCCACGUCCUGCCCAAGAACGGCCGCAGCAGCGUCAUUCACACACGCGUGAGUUUGGGAGGGUAUGGCAGAGGCAGGUGAACCCUGGAAGCGUUGUAGGCGCCGAGUGUGCUGAGCAUAGGCAUACCGUAGCUGGUAAUUUUACGCACCCCAAUCCUGUCCCUGCUGCUGCUCCCUUUGCAGCCGGACGCGGUCAUGCUGGGCACGUGUGUUACUGGCGCUGACGGCGUGUGCACCAUCACCAAGAACUCCGACAGCGUGAGCGCGGAAGGGCGUUGAUCUUCAGUACCCUGUUGGUCAAUUCGCGACCAUGCGGUGGUCAUCGAUCGUGCCUUAUCCCACGCCACCGUACUGGUCGUAACGCCCACGCGCAGGACUGGAGCCAGGUGGCGGCGUUCGCGCUCACGACCGACGGCCGCGCCGCCGUGCUGCCGUCCGCCGGCUAUAUCAGCCCCGACUCGCCGCCUGCCAACUACGUGGCUUCGCUGGUGGCAGACCGCCGCGUGAUCGUGCCCGGCGACAGCCUUAAGGUCACCGGUAAGUAAGAUUUGCUGCCGCGGCUUUCUUACUGUUGCUGCAUGUGCUGCAUUGAUGUGAGUGGAGCCAAAUUGUGUGCUCCGGGCUCUACAAGACACAAACUCACGAUAUUGUCGCUGAAUGUAACUUCCUCCUACAGGCUUCGUGCAGAAGGUGUCUGCCACCGGCCUCAAGCUGCCGGCUGAGUCAUGGGUGGUGGUGGAGGUAUCACCCAACUGGCAAGCCUCUGCCUCCGGCGCCUCGGGCGGCACCACCACCGGCGGCGGCGGCGUCAUUAGCCCGGGCCACAUGCUGCGGACACAGAUUGAUGGCGCCUCGGGCGUGCUUCAUGUGGAAGUGCCCGUCCCCGCCGACGCGCGCCUGCAGCCCUACACGCUGCAGCUGCGCCUGCCCAAGGCGGGCACCGCGCCUGCCUCGGGCGCCCGUCCCGACGAUGCUACGGCCGCUGGCUGGUCCGACGUGGCUGGCUCGCUUGGCUUCACGGUUGCUGACCCGCGCCCGCCCACCGCUGAGCUCAAGGUGUGCAGGCUAGGGUGCCUUCUGUGCACAUGAUGACAGCUCAGCGGACGCGAGACGGGAUCUUUGGGUGUACAUAGCGAUGCCUUGAUCCAUUGGCACGACGCUUGGUGCCGCUUGACACCCCGUGUAUAUAAGCUGCUCACACACAUACACCACUCUGACGCACGCGUUACGCACAUAGGUGGACGUGCCUCCGUGGGUGCUGCCCACCGCCGCCGUGGCGCUCAAGCUCACGGCAGUCAGCUACGUGGGUGCGCCCGUGGACAACUCGCCCAUCACCGUGACCUGGAGCCACAGCAAGGUAUGAACCCAUGAGCCCACAAUCCGGCACGAUGACGACAGCCUGCCAUACGGUAUGCGCGCAUCUGCAUCUCCACGCUCCACCUGGCUGCCAUGGUGAACGAAGGCGCAGCCGCCACCCACACGUCCUGAAUCUCCCAUUUACCCACCCGCUGGCACCUCACACGCAACAGGCGAGCGGCGUGAUCAAGCUGACCACGGGGCUGGACGGCGUGGCCUCCACCACCCUGGACUUGGGCGCGCUGCCCGACAUGAACCGCACCACCGCCUACGACACACUGUCCAUCGCAGCUGAGUGGGUGGGCCCCACCCGUGAGCUCACUCAGAAGUCCGCCACAAUUAUGUGAGUGCACAUCGCCCGGGGCCGGGAGGGAGGCGGCCGUCGAGGUUGCUAGCUAUCGAUGGUUUAGCUUCGUGUCAUCCCGCUUGUGCGUGGCGACUAAUGCACGUUACGCCCACGUUGGCAUCACUGUCUGACAGCGCCCUCUGCGGCUGCCCUUGCCCUCCCUCCCGCCCCCCUCUCAGCCUGGCGGACGGCCCCGCCCGCCUGCAGCUGCAGACCUCCCUGGACACCGACGUACCGGGCGUGGCCUUCGCGCUGGGCGCCCAGCUCACCUCCAAUGUGGAAGGGACGGCCAUCACCGGCGUCGCCGUCACCGCCACCCUCAAGCCCGACACCUCCGCCGGCCCCGCCGCCUGCGCCGACACGCCCAGCUGCGCCACCACUAGCGGCACGGGCCUGGACGCGGGCUGCCAGCUGGCGCUGCCGUGCGUGGGGCGCUUCGUGCUGGAGGCGUGCGC
rnacentral:lncRNA from 1 species